rnacentral:tRNA from 1 species
UGGCGGGUGUAUCGCAAUAGUUAGAAAGUAUUCGAAUGAACUUUGCUACGGCUCAUAACCUGAAGGUCGCAGGUUCAAAUCCUGCCCCCGCAACCA